rnacentral:ncRNA from 1 species
ACCCGACAAUGGCACACUCCGGGAAACCGGGGGCCGCAAAGCCUCCCGCAAACGAAACGCGGGAAUCCGUUUAAUCUUACGACGGAUACGGGCCUAAAAUUCCGGCGCAACGGAUGAAAAUCGGCAGGCAGUUUUGCCGGUUAGCGUUGCCCGGUUUCAAGGUGGCCGGGUUACCGAA